rnacentral:rRNA from 1 species
AUAGCGUAUAUUAAAGUUGUUGCAGUUAAAAAGCUCGUAGUUGAACCUUGGAUCUGGCUGCUCGGUCUGCCUAACCGCGUGCACUGAUGCGGCCGGAUCUUUCCUUCUGGCUAGCCUCAUGCUCUUCAUUGGGUGUGUUGGGGAUCCAGGACUUUUACUUUGAAAAAAUUAGAGUGUUCAAAGCAGGCCUAUGCUCGAAUACAUUAGCAUGGAAUAAUAGAAUAGGACGGCGGUUCUAUUUUGUUGGUUUCUAGAGCCACCGUAAUGAUUAAUAGGGAUAGUCGGGGGCAUCAGUAUUCAAUUGUCAGAGGUGAAAUUCUUGGAUUUAUUGAAGACUAACUACUG